rnacentral:rRNA from 1 species
GUACGGGAGGCAGCAGUGGGGAAUAUUGGACAAUGGGCGCAAGCCUGAUCCAGCAAUACCGCGUGUGUGAAGAAGGCCUUAGGGUUGUAAAGCACUUUCAAUUGGGAGGAAUACCUAUUCGCUAAUACCGGAUAGAUUGACAUUACCUUUAGAAGAAGCACCGGCUAACUCCGUGCCAGCAGCCGCGGUAAUACGGAGGGUGCAAGCGUUAAUCGGAAUUACUGGGCGUAAAGCGUGCGUAGGUGGUUGUUUAAGUCAGAUGUGAAAGCCCCGGGCUCAACCUGGGAAUGGCAUUUGAUACUGGAUAACUCGAGUUUGGGAGAGGCAAGUGGAAUUUCAGGUGUAGCGGUGAAAUGCGUAGAGAUCUGAAGGAACACCAGUGGCGAAGGCGGCUUGCUGGCCUAAAACUGACGCUGAGGCACGAAAGCAUGGGUAGCAAACAGGAUUAGAUACCCCGGU